rnacentral:misc_RNA from 1 species
GCUCAAUGUUGAAAUUUGCUCUGUAAGUUGAGAAACAACUCCCUGAUUAGCCACUGGCGCUGGAGAAUCAGGGGUUCUUCCGUCAUAUCUUCUAGUAUUAACCGCAAGUUUUGUCAGCUUGGACAGGUGUUUUUCUCGUUGUGUUGAGUAUGAAUGUGGAAUACCACGAUUAAGAAACUUUGUUCUCCUAUCUGCAGAGGCUCGGGAUAAAGCUUCUCUAGGGCUUGAGACCAAAUCAUCAUCUAUGCUCAGCUUUGUCUUCAGAUCAUCUGGCAAUGCCAUAACAUCAUUUAAAAGCUUCUCUAGCUGAAUUUGUUCGAUGUAAGUGCGAGGAACAUAUGAACCAUCCAAACCCAGCGAGUCGGCAACAUAUUUUACAUGUAAGCGAUCUCUUCCUUGCACCUGAACAUACCGGCGAUUAAGUUGCUCCAACCAAUCUGUUUUCACACAAACUUUGUCAUCAGAGAAGAUGUGGCUGCUCCUUUUCAAAAUGGUUGCAAUUGAA